GGCUUCGGCUGUGCCUGUUACAUUCUGUGAUGACUCUGGAUAACUUUACUGAUCGCAGUCGGCCUUGUGUCGGCGACGGAUCUUUCAAAUGUCUGCCCUAUCAAUUUGUUGGUAGGUGAUUUGCCUACCAUGAUGAUAACGGGUAACGGGGAAUCAGGGUUCGAUUCCGGAGAGGGAGCCUGAGAAAUGGCUACCACAUCCAAGGACGGCAGCAGGCGCGAAAAUUACCCACUCCCGGCACGGGGAGGUAGUGACGAAAAAUACGUAUACGGGACUCAAUUGAGGCUCCGUAAUUCGAAUGAGUACAAUUUAAAUCCUUUAACGAGGACCAAUUGGAGGGCAAGUCUGGUGCCAGCAGCCGCGGUAACUCCAGCUCCAAAAGCGUAUAUUAAAGUUGCUGCAGUUAAAAAGCUCGUAGUUGAAUCUGGGUCGUGCGGUCGCAUGCCGUUGCUUGUUCACGGUUUUGGUUACGAUCAGGACCAGUGUUCAGCUCGGUGUAGUGGCUGUGCAGCCUUUCAGCCGUGUCUGUGUUAAACGGGUGCUGGUGGGUUGACGAGUUCGUCUUGUUGACCUGUCGGCAUGCUUCCGGAUGCCUUUAAACGGGUGUCGGGAGCGGACGGCAUCUUUACUUUGAACAAAUUUGAGUGCUCAAAGCAGGCCUAUGUGCCUGAAAAUUCUUGCAUGGAAUAAUGAAAUAGGACUUCGGUUCUAUUUUGUUGGUUUUCGGAUCCGAAGUAAUGGUUAAGAGGGACAGACGGGGGCAUUUGUAUGGCGGUGUUAGAGGUGAAAUUCUGGGAUCGCCGCCAGACAAACUACAGCGAAAGCAUUUGCCAAGAAUGUUUUCAUUGAUCAGGAGCGAAAGUCAGAGUUUCGAAGACGAUCAGAUACCGUCGUAGUUCUGACCAUAAACGAUGCCAACUGACGAUCCGCGUUGGUUCUAUAAUUGACAUCGCGGGCAGUCCCCGGGAAACCUUUAAGUCUUUGGGCUCCGGGGGGAGUAUGGUUGCAAAGCUGAAACUUAAAGGAAUUGACGGAAGGGCACCACCAGGAGUGGAGCCUGCGGUUUAAUUCGACUCAACACGGGAAAACUCACCCGGCCCGGACACUGUGAGGAUUGACAGAUUGAUAGCUCUUUCUUGAUUCGGUGGGUGGUGGUGCAUGGCCGUUCUUAGUUGGUGGAGCGAUUUGUCUGGUUAAUU
rnacentral:rRNA from 1 species